ACCAGAUAAUAUCACAAACACAUAAAAGAGAGGACGAAAGGCCAGCACAGUAGAGAGUAGAUACGCCAACGCCAUGGCCUCCACUUCUAUUCCUCUCCCUCUAUCCCCAUCCUCUCCGGCGACACAAACUCCCACCACCACCACUACUCAACCGCCAUCUCCGACCAUCUCUCUUCCGAAGCCCAAAACCCCCACAAUCCGCUCUCGCCUCAGCAAGCUCUGCCAAGAGGGCAAACCCCACCUCGCACGCCAACUUUUCGACACUCUUCCCCGGCCCACCACCGUUCUCUGGAACACCAUCAUCAUCGGCUUCAUCUGCAACAACUUCCCCGACGACGCCCUUCUCUUCUAUGCGCAGAUGAAGAAAUCCGCUCCCGACACCAAAUGCGAUUCCUACACCUACUCCUCCACCCUCAAGGCCUGCGCCGAUACUUGCAACGCUCGGGUCGGUAGGGCCGUGCAUUGUCAUGUUUUGAGGUGCCUGUCGAACCCCAGUAGGAUUCUGUAUAAUUCUUUGUUGAACAUGUACUCUACUUGUCUUUGUGGUUGUGAUUAUUCGAAGGGUGACUUGGUCCGCAAGGUAUUUGACUCAAUGCCUAAGAGAAAUGUAGUCGCGUGGAAUACUCUGGUUUCUUGGUAUGUGAAGACGGAGAGAUACGAAGAGGCAGUUUUUCAGUUUGUGAGGAUGAUGAGGAUGAGGAUAAGACCGAGCGCCGUCAGUUUUGUUAACGUUUUUCCCGCUUUGUCGGGGUUGAGGGAUUAUAACAAUGCUAGUGUUCUUUAUGGAUUGCUUAUUAGAAUGGGUGCUGAAUACGUGAACGACUUGUUUGUGGUGAGCUCUGGAAUAUUUAUGUUUUCUGAGCUUGGUUGCGUGGAUUUUGCUAGGAAGAUUUUUUAUCUUUCCGUGGAGAAAAACACAGAGAUUUGGAACACCAUGAUUGGUGGCUAUGUUCAAAAUAACCUUCCAGUUGAAGCAAUGGACCUUUUCCUUCAAGCAAUACAAUUAGAAGAGGCCAUUCUUGAUGAAGUCACUUUCCUUUCUGCUUUAACUGCAGUUUCGCAGUUGCAACGAUUGGAGUUGGCUCAACAGCUCCAUGCUUAUGUGAUUAAAAAUUUGAGAGCAAUACCUAUCUUUAUCCAAAAUGCAAUUAUUGCCAUGUAUUCUAGGUGUAGUUCUAUCGAUAAAUCAUUCAAAAUUUUUCACGGGAUGCUGGAAAGAGAUGUUGUUUCGUGGAAUACAAUGGUUUCUGCACUAGUACAGAAUGGGUUGGAUGAUGAAGCUUUAUUACUCGUGCGUGAAAUGCAAAAACAAGGUUUUGCCAUUGAUUCUGUAACUGUGACCGCCCUCCUUUCUGCAGCAUCAAAUCUUAGAGACCCAAAUAUUGGAAAGCAGACCUAUGCGUAUCUUAUUAGGCACGGGAUAGAAUUCGAGGGGAUGGAUAGUUAUCUUAUAGACAUGUAUGCUAAAUCAGGCCUGGUUGGGGCAUUGCAAAUAAUCUCAGAGAAAAGUUCUACCCAUGAUAGAGAUGUUGCCACUUGGAAUUCUGUGAUUGCAGGGUACACUCAGAAUGGGCUGAUUGAAGAAGCUUUUGUGGUUUUCAGACUAAUGCUUGAGAAAAAGCUACUACCAAAUUCUGUAACCUUAGCGUCAAUUUUACCUGCUUGUAGUCCAAUGGGGAACAUAGAUUUGGGAAAGCAAUUACAUGGAUUUUCUGUUCGCCACUUGCUGGACCAAAAUGUCUUUGUGGGAACUGCACUAGUUGACAUGUAUUCCAAAUCAGGUGCAAUCACUUAUGCUGAAAAUAUGUUUCGCGAAACUGAUCAAAAGAAUUCCGUCACUUACACAACUAUGAUUCUGGCUUAUGGUCAGCAUGGAAUGGGUGAAAGAGCUCUCUAUUUGUUUCAUUCUAUGCAGGAUUCUGGCAUUAAAUGUGAUGCCAUUACCUUUGUUGCGGUCUUGUCUGCUUGCAGUUAUGCUGGGUUGGUUGAUGAAGGUCUUGAAAUAUUUGAGUCGAUGAAAAAAGAAUAUAAUAUUCAACCAUCAACUGCACACUACUGCUGUGUGGCGGACAUGUUAGGGAGGGUUGGAAGGGUAGUCGAAGCCUAUGAGUUUGUCAAAAGAUUAGGUGAAGAGGGUAAUGUGCUGGAAAUAUGGGGAUCACUUCUUGGGGCAUGCAGAAUUCAUGAACAAUUUGAACUGGGAAAAGUUGUUGCAGAAAAGUUGCUUGAAUUGGAGACAGGAAAUGACACGAUGGGCUACCGUGUUUUGCUCUCAAAUAUGUAUGCAGAGGAGGGAAAGUGGGAUACCGCUAGUAAAUUGAGGAAACAGAUGAGGGAGAAGGGUUUGAGGAAGGAGAUUGGAUGUAGUUGGAUUGAGAUUUCUGGUUGUAUAAACCGUUUUGUUUCUAAGGACCAGAAACAUCACCAAAGCAAUGAGAUAUAUAACGUGCUGGGACAAUUCGCAAUGGAAAUAAAGGCUGCGGGUUAUAGACCUUUUGUCAGUUCCAGUUUACAUGAAGUCACUGAUUCAGAUUAAUAAAGUGGAAAAUAACUUGUAGAUGUUUCUUGGAACCCUAGGUUUGCUGAGUCAGUUUUUUGGAGCAGGUCAGUUUGUGAAGCAGAGUGAAAAAGAUGGAACCAUAUAUGUUAAUAUGGCCUAUGGUGAUACAGAUUCACGGCUGUGCGUACACGCUACUUUGCUUACUUGGUCAGUUCUUUGGACAGAUACAUGGGUGCAGUAACUGGCAUCUCUGUUAAGAUUGGCUCGGUCAGGCAAAUCCAGUGCUGGGGAGAGACAUCGAAAUGGGACUGGGGAGACCAUGGCCACCCCUAUCAUGAUUGCCUUCAUUUUAUAGUAUGGUUGAUUUUAUUUGUGGAAUGGAGGCUUAAAAAGAAACAUGGCUUCUUGACCUUUGGCUCAAAUUCGUGUUGUCUUAUUCCACGUUUAAAGAUGGUGAUUUGGAAAUGGAGAUCAGGGGAGUUGUUCAGUGGACUCUCAGAAGCUUGGAAAUACACUCUGGAGGCAGCAAGGAUUGGUGCUUGACUUUGUGUACCAAGCAACGGCAGCUCCAUGCACUUGGCAAAAUGAGGGCAGUGGAUCCUACAAAACGUUCGCGACAAUAUAUUCAGUUUCUGCAACAGUUGCAGCAGUACCGGGCAACAGCAAGUGCAGUGGAGGCAACCGGCACGGCAGUUGUCAAUUUUCCUUUCAGUACCAGCAGCACACCUUUCCCGACCAUGCUGGAAGUUUCACAUCUUCGUCAGCUGGGAAACUUUUUAGUUUUUACUAACCGUUCUAUUCUUAACUUGCUUAUUGCUUAUGUAGCAGAGGCCAAAAAAAAAAAAAAAAAAACACUUGCCAUUGUUUUAAAUAAAGUUAAUCAUGAGGAAACCCAAUUC